rnacentral:rRNA from 1 species
GGGACGAACGCUGGCGGCGUGCUUAACACAUGCAAGUCGAGCGGAAAGGCCCUUCGGGGUACUCGAGCGGCGAACGGGUGAGUAACACGUGAGUAACCUGCCCCUAGCUCUGGGAUAGCUCCGGGAAACCGGGAUUAAUACCAGAUACGACCACUUUAGACAUCUGUCGUGGUGGAAAGGAUUCCGGCUAGGGAUGGGCUCGCGGCCUAUCAGCUUGUUGGUGGGGUAACGGCCUACCAAGGCGACGACGGGUA